rnacentral:piRNA from 1 species
UGGUGAUCACUUCAUGGUGAC